GACGAACCGUCCAAACGUUAUUCGGAAUCACUGGGCUUACAGAGUUCGUAGGCGGUCUGGAAAGUUGGGUGUGAAAUCCCUCGGCUCAACCGAGGAACUGCGCUCGAAACUACCAGACUCGAGGGAGAUAGAGGAAAGCGGAACUGAUGGUGGAGCGGUGAAAUGCGUUGAUAUUAUCAGGAACACCGGUGGCGAAGGCGGCUUUCUGGGUCUUACCUGACGCUGAGGAACGAAAGCUAGGGGAGCGAACGGGG
rnacentral:rRNA from 1 species